rnacentral:rRNA from 1 species
CGGUGAAUACGUUCCCGGACCUUGCACACACCGCCCGUCAAGCCAUGGAAGCCGGGUGUACCUAAAGUCGGUAACCGCAAGGAGCCCCGCCUAGGGUAAAACUGGUGACUGGGGCU